rnacentral:rRNA from 1 species
UGCCCAGACUCCUACGGGAGGCAGCAGUGGGGAAUAUUGCGCAAUGGGCGAAAGCCUGACGCAGCGACGCCGCGUGAGGGAAGACGGUCCUCUGGAUUGUAAACCACUGUCCCCAGGGACGAAGAUGACGGUACCUGGGGAGGAAGCUCCGGCUAACUACGUGCCAGCAGCCGCGGUAAUACGUAGGGAGCGAGCGUUGUCCGGAAUUAUUGGGUGUAAAGGGUGCGUAGACGGAGAAACAAGUUGGUUGUGAAAUCCCUCGGCUCAACCGAGGAACUGCAACCAAAACUAUUUCCCUUGAGUGUCGGAGAGGAAAGUGGAAUUCCUAGUGUAGCGGUGAAAUGCGUAGAUAUUAGGAGGAACACCAGUGGCGAAGGCGACUUUCUGGACGAUAACUGACGUUGAGGCACGAAAGUGUGGGGAGCAAACAGGAUUAGAUACCCCCGUA